rnacentral:rRNA from 1 species
UACGGGGGAGGCAAGCGUUGUUCGGAUUUACUGGGCGUAAAGGGCGCGUAGGCGGCGUGGUAAGUCAGCUGUGAAAUCUCCGAGCUUAACUCGGAACGGUCAGCUGAUACUGCUGUGCUAGAGUGCAGAAGGGGCAAUCGGAAUUCUUGGUGUAGCGGUGAAAUGCGUAGAUAUCAAGAGGAACACCUGAGGUGAAGACGGGUUGCUGGGCUGACACUGACGCUGAUGCGCGAAAGCCAGGGGAGCGAACGGG